rfam:Populus trichocarpa isolate Nisqually-1 chromosome 9, whole genome shotgun sequence.
UAAUUUUUCUGGUGCAGAUCCUUAUCUAGUUAUGAUAGACUUACACCUGACUAUUAAAAAUCACUUGUUAACAUAAGCCCAACUACAACAUAAAUUAAUAAUAAAUUUUCUAGAUCAAAAU